rnacentral:rRNA from 1 species
GACGAACGCUGGCGGCGUGCUUAACACAUGCAAGUCGAACGGAAAGGCCCUGCUUUUGUGGGGUGCUCGAGUGGCGAACGGGUGAGUAACACGUGAGUAACCCGCCCUUGACUUUGGGAUAACUUCAGGAAACUGGGGCUAAUACCGGAUAGGAGCUCCUGCUGCACGGUGGGGGUUGGAAAGUUUCGGCGGUUGGGGAUGGACUCGCGGCUUAUCAGCUAGUUGGUGGGGUAGUGGCUUACGAAGGCUUUGACGGGUAGCCGGCCUGAGAGGGUGACCGGGCACAUUGGGACUGAGGUACGGACCAGACUCCUAUGGGAGGCAGCAGGGGGGAAUAUUGCACAAUGGGCGGAAGCCUGAUGCAGCAGCGCCGCGUGCGGGAUGACGGCCUUCGAGUUGUAAACCGCUUUCGACUGUGACGAGGCGUGAGUGACGGUAAUGGGUAAAGAAGCACCGGCUAACUACGUG